CCGGCGCUUUUUUCGAUAUCCGCGGGUUAUUUAAUUCGAUAAUCCGCGGUUUCAAUUAAAUAAAAUACUAAAUAAUUAAUUUAAUUUUUUAUUCUAAUAAUUCUGAUUAUAAUAAAUCAAAAGUAAAAACAUGAUAACGUAAGGGAAGAUAAUGACAUUACCUUAUUAAACAUUAGUGUUGUCCAAGUUCUGGUGCCAGAAGACUCGGCAAGGCCAGGUACACAAACGUUAAUCGUCUUAAAUAGGCGUAAAGGGUAAGUAGGCUGCUUUAUAAGUAACAACUUAAAUUUAGUUUAAUUAAUAAAAAAUAAAAAAUAAAAAAUAAAAAAUAAAAAAUAAAAAAUAAAAAAUAAAAAAUAAAAAAUUUUUUUAAUUAUAAUAAGUUAACAAUAAAGCUUGAAUCAUAUUGAAGGUAAAACAAUGCGUAAUGUAGGGGUAAAAUCUUAAGAUCUUACGUGGAGUUCUAAAAGUGCAAACUAUUAUCUAUUGAAUGAUUGACGCUGAGGAACGAAAGUGGGGACAGGGAAAAGGAUUAGAUACCCUUCCACCCCUCACUGUAAACGAUGAAUGGUAGCUAUUAGUUAUACGAUAAUUAGUGGCGAGGUUAACACGAUUACCAUUCCGCCUUGGUAGUACGAUCGCAAGGUUGAAAUCAAAAAAAUUAGUCGGUCUCGAAGCAAACGGAGUGGAGCAUGUUAUUUAAUUCGAUAAUCCGCA
rnacentral:rRNA from 1 species